rnacentral:rRNA from 1 species
UAAGGGCACCACAAGAACGCGUGGAGCCAUGUGGCCUAAUUUGACUCAACGCGGGAAAUCUUACCGGGUCCGGACACACUGAGGAUUGACAGGCAAUAUCUAAAUCGUUUAUAAUAAUUCCUAUUAUAAUACGCUUUUAGUGUUAAAUAUGCUAGUCCUUUCAUGAUUAUGUGAUAGGUGGUGCAUGGCCGUUCUUAGUUCGUGGAGUGAUCUGUCUGCUUAAUUGCGUUUCACUAAGGGCCCAUAAAUUCAAGGUAUGUUAGCUAUCGUUUCUCAAUUGACCCCUUGUCUUCGAUAAGCGCGUGUCUUUUAGAGUUUAAACAUUGCGCAUGCUGUUGGGUCCUGAAAGCAACGAACGUGACCGCAACGUCUUAUUGCCUUUAUCUUGUUAUAUUCUAAUUUAAUUAGAAAUAACUAACAGAGGCUAAUUUAAAAUUAGACGGACCGCUGUACUUUUCUUAAACCAGAGGAAGGUUGCGGCAAUAACAGGUCUGUGAUGCCCUUAGAUGUUCCGGGCUGCACACGUGCUACAAUGAUCAGUACAGUGAGCAUCUCAAUAUUAUACACCGUAUUAAGCGCUUAGUUGCGAUUAUUGGCUCAUUAUUUAUUAAGGGUCUUUUAAUUGUAUUUCUAAUGCGCGCGGUAAAGCCUGCUUCGAGAGUAAGUGGGUAAUCCAUUGGAAGUAAUGAUUUCUCUUUUUAUAGCACACCUAUAUACGGCAUUCAUUCCCGGGACGACUAGUUUCGUCUUUUUUGUGCGAAUGUAAUGUAUUCUUUAUCCGUAUGUGCGAUUGUCAAUUCAUGGUGGGGACAGACCAUUGUUAAUUGUUGGUCUCGGUCUUAACUAGGAAUGCCUUGUACGGGUCUUUGGUUCAACAAACCACCCGGAAUACGUCCCUGCCCUUUGUACACACCGCCCGUCGCUCUUACCGAUGAACUUCUUUGUGAGUCUAAGGGACUGGGUUAAUCUGUAAUUUCUAUUAUGGAUAUACCUAUGGAAACUUAUACGAACAAUGUGGUUUAAAGAAAAAAGAAGUCGUAACAAGGCAUCCA